rnacentral:rRNA from 1 species
UACGUAGGGGGCGAGCGUUGUCCGGAAUUAUUGGGCGUAAAGAGCGUGUAGGCGGUUCGGUAAGUCUGCCGUGAAAACCUGGGGCUCAACCCUGGGCGUGCGGUGGAUACUGCCGGGCUAGAGGGUGGUAGAGGCGAGUGGAAUUCCCGGUGUAGCGGUGAAAUGCGUAGAUAUCAGGAGGAACACCGAUGGCGAAGGCAGCUCGCUGGGACGGUAUUGACGCUGAGGUGCGAAAGCGUGGGGAGCAAACAGG